rnacentral:lncRNA from 12 species
CCUGACAGCCCUCACCAGGCCCUCGCAGGGGUGAGGCCGAGCCGCCCUGACAGCCCUCCAGCGCCCGGGAACUGCUGGCCGGGACCGCCAGUGUCCCCGCACCGCCGGGCUGCUGGGCUGGUUUAAGCCUGUCGGGACCAAAGCGGCUGUUUGGCACAGAGGAUUCCUCACAGCCCAGAUUGUUUGAUUUCUUUGCUGCUGAAGGUAUGUUUCCCAGUCUGUUGUCUGAAAGAAACUCCUGAGAAAAUGGGCAAAUUGACAGGAAAAUAAGACCUAAUGAUGGAGAGAAUCCAAAUGGAAAGCCUGCUGCAAUUUGACAAGGAUCCACCAGAAUUACUGGACACAUUACAAACACCACCA